GAUUAAUGUUACUGUUGAUUCUGAUUUUACACCAUUUCAUGUGUAAUGAGGGUGGUCAGCAGCAGCACACACUUCAUCAAAUAAGAUUAUUUUGCUUUAUUUGUGAAGACUAUUCUAAUUAGCAAGAUAAAGCAUUCUUUUGCAUUGGUUGCGCUCAUGGAAUUCUAUUAUCAAUUGGGUGGGGCGUGCGGUUAUGCAAAAACUGAAUGUUAGUACCUAGGAGUUCAAUCAAGCUUUCUCAACUUUUACUGACACUGAAACACAAUUUUCUCAUUGUCUAUUUCUUC